rnacentral:rRNA from 1 species
CGCGGCCUAUCAGCUUGUUGGUGGGGUAAUGGCCUACCAAGGCGACGACGGGUAGCCGGCCUGAGAGGGCGACCGGCCACACUGGAACUGAGACACGGUCCAGACUCCUACGGGAGGCGGCAGUGGGGAAUAUUGCACAAUGGGCGAAAGCCUGAUGCAGCGACGCCGCGUGAGGGACGACGGCCUUCGGGUUGUAAACCUCUUUCAGCAGGGACGAAGCGAAAGUGACUGUACCUGCAAAAGAAGCACCGGCUAACUACGUGCCAGCAGCCGCGGUAAUACGUAGGGUGCAAGCGUUGUCCGGAUUUAUUGGGCGUAAAGAGCUCGUAGGCGGUUUGUCGCGUCGGAUGUGAAAACCUAUGGCUUAACCAUGGGCCUGCAUUCGAUACGGGCAGACUAGAGUUCGGUAGGGGAGACUGGAACUCCUGGUGUAGCGGUGAAAUGCGCAGAUAUCAGGAAGAACACCGGUGGCGAAGGCGGGUCUCUGGGCCGAUACUGACGCUGAGGAGCGAAAGCGUGGGGAGCAAACAGGAUUAGAUACCCUGGUAGUCCACGCCGUAAACGUUGGGCGCUAGGUGUGGGGAACCUUCCACGUUCUCCGUGCCGUAGCUAACGCAUUAAGCGCCCCGCCUGGGGAGUACGGA